rnacentral:lncRNA from 1 species
CCUGGGUGUUCCUUGGCAGUGUUGGAGAGGUGAAUCAGACCCUGUGAAUUCAGAACCAGGAGAAUCUCCAGGGCUAGCUCAGAUGCAGACGUCGUGGACAUCGAGAGUGACGUGAGAGGAACUUGGUGAUUUCUUUCUCAAGACAGACAGAAUCAACUCGACCAGAGUUACCAGCUUCCACUGCAGCCUUUUCUGGGAAGCCAGGCAAGUGCAAGGCAAGCAUCCUCCUGCCUCGUUACCGCUGAUCACCCUGCUCUGGCCUCUUUUUCUCCUGGCCCGUUCGGCAGGCCUGGCCUUUUCUAGGAAAUGCCGUCAUUCCUCGUGACAGCAUGGCACAGGGACUUGCUGCGAAGACCCUGGCACCACACUACAGCUGUGGAUGGGGAAGCUGUUUGAAAACCUUUCCAUCUGGGGGGUGAAAGGAUUGCUGUGUGGGUGUUGCCUGGGUACAUGAGGCCAGUGUGUGGUACAGAAGCAGCACACAGCAGCCCUGAGUUGGCCACGUGACAUGCCAUUCAGGGUCUUUAUUAAAAUGUACAGUGAGA